GCGCGGGGCAUGCUGGGAGUGGUUGUGUACCGUCGCCAACAGCAGGUGAAGCCCAGCAGAGGACGCGUCCAGCCGAUCUGGUGAAGCAAUUCCUGCAGGCGUUGGUUACCCCCUUUGCCCUGGUAAAGGCAGGCUUUUAUGCGAGAGGAUUUGAAUUUGUUGAAAUGAGCAGUCGUAAAUCAAAGAGUAACAGCUUAAUUCACGCAGAGUGCCUUUCACAGGUACAAAGAAUUUUACGUGAAAGAUUUUGUCAUCAGAGUCCACAUAGUAACCUAUUUGGAGUGCAAGUACAAUACAAACACUUAAGUGAGCUGCUAAAAAGGACCGCUCUCCAUGGAGAGAGUAACUCUGUCCUCAUUAUCGGACCCCGAGGAUCAGGAAAAACUAUGUUAAUAAAUCAUGCUUUGAAAGAACUCAUGGAAAUAGAAGAAGUGAGUGAAAACGUAUUACAAGUUCACUUAAAUGGACUGCUGCAGAUCAAUGACAAAAUCGCCCUAAAGGAAAUCACGAGGCAGUUAAAUCUGGAAAAUGUAGUUGGAGAUAAAGUUUUUGGAAGCUUUGCUGAAAACCUUUCAUUUCUUCUGGAAGCUUUAAAAAAAGGUGACCGAACUAGCAGUUGCCCAGUGAUCUUCAUAUUAGAUGAAUUUGAUCUUUUUGCUCAUCAUAAAAACCAAACACUUCUCUAUAAUCUUUUUGACAUUUCUCAGUCUGCACAGACCCCAAUAGCAGUUAUUGGCCUUACAUGUAGAUUGGAUAUUCUGGAACUCUUAGAAAAAAGAGUGAAGUCAAGAUUUUCUCACCGGCAGAUACACUUAAUGAAUUCAUUUGGUUUUCCACAGUAUGUUAAAAUAUUUAAAGAACAAUUAUCUCUACCUGCAGAAUUUCCAGACAAGCUUUUUGCUGAGAAGUGGAAUGAAAAUGUUCAGUAUCUCUCAGAAGAUAGAAGUGUGCAAGAAGUACUACAGAAGCAUUUCAAUAUCAGCAAAAACCUGCGGUCAUUACACAUGCUAUUGAUGCUUACUUUAAAUCGAGUAACAGCAUCACACCCAUUUAUGACUGCCAUAGAUCUAAUGGAAGCAAGUCAACUGUGUAGCAUGGACUCAAAAGCAAAUAUUGUACAUGCCUUUAACUUAGUCCUUUUGAAGGUACUAUCACUCCCAUUUAAAGUGAAAAAAAAAAUUGACGCUCUGCCUCUUUUGCCACAUUGGAAAUCCAGGUCUAUCAGUCUUGGAAAUCUGUCUUAUAAUAGCAAUGAAACAUUUAAAUGACAUCUAUGAGGAAGAGCCAUUUAAUUUUCAAAUGGUCUAUAAUGAGUUUCAGAAGUUUGUUCAAAGGAAAGCACAUUCUGUUUAUAAUUUUGAAAAACCUGUUGUCAUGAAGGCUUUUGAACACUUGCAACAAUUAGAAUUAAUAAAGCCCAUGGAAAGAACUUCAGGAAAUUCACAGAGAGAGUACCAGCUGAUGAAACUGCUUUUGGAUAAUACUCAAAUUAUGAAUGCUCUGCAGAAAUAUCCCAACUGUCCUACAGAUGUGAGGCAGUGGGCAACAUCCUCACUGAGCUGGUUAUGAAUAUAACCAGUGACUUCAACUUUGGCAUUUCAUUCAUACAUCCGUAGAGAACGAAAAACUAUUGUCCUUUAACAUGAUAAUACUAAACAUUCUGUGUGAGACUUGCAUGUCUACUGUCUUGGCUGUGUCUUGCCUUUUAAUCAUGAACAGUUACAUGAUUUAUAAUUUCAGUAAUUGAGAUUACUUUGUAAGUAGCAGUUCAGAAGAAUAAAAUAUGACUGUUUCAGGGACUAGACCAUGUGCUUUUUUAACACUUAUAUGUAUAAUGGUCUAUUUGAAGAGCUCACUUCAACCUAACAGCUAGAUGUCUUUACAAACCUUAAACCAAAGGAGUGAAAAAACAAUGGUAACAACUGAAGUAUAAGUAACCUUUGGUACAGUAGAUUUGCUGCACGGUUUUUUCCUGUCCACAUGCAAAUUUUGGAUUCUAUCCCAGACUCAGGUUUUCUAGUGCAGGAGACUAACCAGCUUAGUCAGAUGAUGGUUCACAUGGAAGGAAAGAUUUUUCUUCUAGAUACCUCAAAAUGUGGUACUCAUACCAUCCACAUCAGAAUCCCUUGUAGGAUUUUCUAAAAUUACAGAUUGUUGAGCUUACCAUAGGUCAAAAGGAUUGGAAUUUGCCUUCUUAACAAGUAUAGUCAUGGCACCACAUAACAUUUUGGUCCGUGACAUUGUAUAUAUGAGGGUGGUCUCGUAAGAUUAUACCAUAUUUUUACUGUACCUUUUCUAUGUUUGAAUAUACAAAUGUUUACCAGUGUGUUACAGUUACCUACAGUAUGAUUACAGUAACAUUCUGUACAGCGUUGUAGCCUAAGAGUAAUAGGCUAGGCCGUAUGUAUAGCCUAGGUGUGUAACAGGCUAUAUACCAUCAGGGUUUCUGUAAGUACACUCUGUGAUGUUCAUCCAAUGAUGAAAUCACCCAGAGACACAUUUCUCAGAACAUAGCCCCAUCAUGAAGUGACGUGACUGUACCAGAGAUUUCUGGAAAAGCACUCCCAAAAGUAAUGAGACAUGUAUGGCAAUGUUAACCGAACCUGUAUUAAAAAGUAAAUCCCUGAGGAAUGUGGAAAUGUCAGUCAAAGCAUUGUCUUUUAAGUAAGUUCCAAGAGCCAUGAAUUAACAGAGGCAUAUAUUUAAAAUGAAAUUUAAUAAGCACUUAAGUGACUUCAUUUGUUCAAGAAUAUUUGAUUGCCUACUGUGUGCAUGGGAGGUUUACAAAAGACAGACUGUCUCUAUGCUUGUGCAGCUUACAAUCCAUUUAACUGUUAGAGGCCCUGUGAGAUGUAGGUACUGUUAUUUACAGAUUAGAAAACUUCCAGCAGGCUUGGAGUUCAACUCAGUUUAACACCAAAGCCAGUGCUAUUAAAACCUGAAGUUCGACAGUGGAUUCCUUACCAAAUCGUUUUUAAAGUAUGCUCUAAGGCACAAUGUUUUAAUGAAAUCUUGGAUACAAAGUGGAAUAAAAAAUUUCUGUGCAUAAAAGUAGCUCUUCAGUAGUUACAACGUAUUCUUUUGCAUACACAGCCUUUCCUUCCCUGCAAAAAGUUAAACCUUCUAAGUAUUCAGAUCCCUGUCAUUUACUUUUCAGCAGUCUCAUUCAGGCUAAUGCUUGCAUACUGAUUCUAUGCCAUAGUCUACACGUUUUUAGGGGAUAUUUCACCAAAAUACUUAACAUGGUAACAUCACUAUUAUAUACUAGAAGCAAGAAUUUUACACUUAUGCUCUAACUGACCCUUUUAAAAAUUUUCUAAACUAUUUGAGGAAAGUAUUAUUUGUCUUAAAGGGUAACAGCCUCAUGAAAUGACUUGAGGAUUGCAAUUUCUUAUUAGCUUAAGAUGUUACUUAAAAGCUGACAGCCCUCAUCUGUCUCACUGGCUAUGUAAGAGCUACAGAAGAUCCAUCAAUAACCAAGUACACAGAUUUUAAGACUAAGUACCAAUUGAGGUAAACAUGAAACAGUUAAAAGCAAAUUCAAAAAAUACAUUAGGAAAAGUUACACCAAUGAAGUAUAGGCCUAUUAUAUUCCCAAAGCAUUUUUGUGGGGAGGAGCAGUGUUGAUUGUUGGCCUUUCCAUAUUCCCUCAUACAAAAAAGCUAAAGUCUAUUUGCCAGAGUUCUGAGCUAACUUCAUCUCUUAAAUUGCUUAAAUUGUCAUCAAUAAAAACAAGUCUGAAAAACCCUAGUUUAAAAAGCGGUUCAAGAAUAUGUAAACUUAUACAUAUAGCUUCAAGAUAUUUUCUUCAUUUACUAGAGGAGGAAAAAUAGAACCAAAAAAGCACGAACUGCUUUUCAAUCUGACUACCUCAGACUGAAAAGCAGGUGAAGGAGGAAUAUUUCAGUGUGUUUUUUACAUCUGUGUUCCCUCCAAGUAGCCCACCAGAAACAGAAUUCUUGUUAAAAUGACUGAUUCUCAUGCACGUGAAAGGCUCUGGGGAAUGAAUACCUGUUUGGUCCAAACUUCCUGUAUCAUAACACUGUAUAUGUUGAAAACGGAAUACCUAUUCAUGUCCUAACGAAUCACUGUUGUGCAGAAAACACUGUAAGAAACACUUCAGUAUUUUCUGUAGAGUGCAUAUUUCACCAUGGUUCGCAUUCUCGGCCUCAUCUGGUUUAGAAAGCAAUUUAGUUUCUUUCAAACCACCAUAAUCUAAGUGCUGCCCCGUCCUUCACCUUUACCCUAGAAAAUCUGAGAAUCCAUUUGUGUGUACUGUGUGACACAGUGCCAACAAGCCUCUGCUUCCUAAUACUGGCAGGACCAACACACAUACUUGAGUGGGAAUAUAAUCUGUUUAGACAGGGAAAUACCAUAAUUAACAAAUCUCCCUUCACUCACCACCACUAUCCUCAUUCUUGGCAGUUGUCAAAGGUGUAAGCCUCACUAUAAGUUACAAAGCUACCACGCCCCUCUUUAAGAACACAUAGCUAAAGAAAAACUGCAUAUGCAAAUUAUACCAUAUUCAUUUUUUUUUAUUUAACUUGGGGAUGGAAUGGGGAUAGCAUACAUUUUAUUUGUACAAUAUUUAACAAUCACUUAUCCAAGGUGGGGUUUUACGGGGAUUUUAAGCUUUCUGUUAAAUACUUGCAGAAAAAAUAGCAAGUACGAUUUGACAGUAGUACAAUAACCUGUGCCCAAAACACAAGAAAUACAGAGUAAAGCGAAAAUAACUGCUUACCAAUAUUCUGAGAGGUAACAAAUGGGAUAUGGGUUGAGACUGCAUAAAAAACGUACUGCUGGUUGAAUAUCUGAGGUAAAUGAUGUUCAAUCAAGAUGCUACUUGUAUCAUUUUGCCCACAAAUUGAUAAUUUUAUGUAUUAUCAUACCAAAUGUUCCUAAAAAGUAAUCUUUCAAAAAAGUAAAAAAGAGAAACUGGAAAGUAUCUGUGAUGAAGCUUCUUUCUUUAAAAAAAAAAAAAAAAAAAAAAAAAA